CUUUCUCUUUUGACUUCCACUCCUUUUCUCGUGGGCAAGGGGUCCAGCCAUCUGUUUUCAAGUUCACGCCGGCAACCGUACCAGCUCGGGCCAGCGACGACUAACGCCGGCCUAUGAAGCACAACACACAGCGGCGCGAGCUUCUUCUCGCAACGGCGACGCUCUAUUCACGAACCACGACGCCCAGAUCUGCUGCUUCAAGAUCCUAAGAAUUUUGGAGGUCUGUCUGGCAUGGAUGGCAUUGCAGAUGCGUUAUUGGGGAAGCAGAUGGAAUCCUUACAACUUAGUUUCUCAUCUAUUAAAAAAACAAUAAUCAGAAUAAAGAUCUCAGGGAAGAACUUAAGAAUAUUGUCCAUUCAAUGGAGAAAAUUUAUCUUGAUGGGAAGCAAUUAGUCAAAGGUGGUUCCAAUCAGCCAUCAACAAAACAACUAUAAUAAAGAGUUGGUUUAAAAUCCAGCCUUGAAGAUUACUCGAAUGGUUCGGUUCUUUAUUGAAUUCUCAAGUAUAUAUUCUGCUGGAAGCUUUAUAGUCCAUUUGGAUUGACUCGAGAAAAAAGUAAUUUUCAAAAAACUCAUUUUUACUUAACUUUUUUUUUUUUUUUUUUAUGAAAACGGUUUAAAAUACACUUUAAAACUAUUUUGAGUGGUUGCCAAAUACUCUAAUUUUUUUUCUUUCAAAAUGACUUAUUUUUUUUUAAAUUAAACACUUAGAAAACAUAUUCCAAACGCACUCUUAGCUUCUGAUAUGAUACUACUAUAUUUAUGUUUCAUUCAUCCUCCCCAAUAGAUUAACUUGAUCUCAUUUGCUUUGUUUUGGAGUGGCUGUAUAGUUUGACUCCUUAAUCAACUUGUUUCAAUUUCUUUAGGUACAAUGUUAAAGCUAGGUAAUAGUUUUUUUUCUCAGUUGUGGAAUUUAAUAUCCUAAAAUGUUUUGGUGGGAUGAAAUUUCUGGUUGUAAUUAGGUGAUUAAUGAAGUUGGUAUUAAUGUAAGGGAAACACUUGGAUUUGGAGCUUCCAUUUUCCUUUGAUGGUUGCAUAUGAAACAUCCUUUUCUAGUAAUGGCCUUCAACUAUCAUCUUCUUUUUCCCUCUUCAAAUUUUGUUAUUAUUAUGACCCAUUUUUUCUCCUCUGAGAAAAGGUGUAUUUUUAAUUGUUGGGAAUCAUAGAGCCCUCAUCACCUUGCAGCAACUCUUGGUUGACCAACCUAACAUUUGGAAAGAGGAAGACAACGAGCAGUAAAAUGGAAGAGGAGAUCAAAUGAAGAAACUAUCAAAAAGCUUCACGGAGGUUGUUAAUAGAAUACGAGCAUAGCUUAGUAGAUAAGACACGUUAAUGACUCAAAUGUAGAUGAUUUGAUCUUUCAUCUCACAACCGUUGAACUAAAAAAGAUUUUCCUCGUGAAUUUGUAUAUACCAUGACAAUCUUAAUUUAAAAGCAAAAAGUAGUAUCAAUAUUUAUAAC